UCUACAGAGAGGAGCCAUGGAAGAUGUUCGAACCAUCUUCCGACAAAUCCUUGUCGUGCGUUUUCAUGACACCAAAGAAGGUCAAAUCGAGGAUUCAGUAGGCAACCAAGUUGGUGUUGGCCAAAAUAAAGGUGGAGAUAAAAAGUUCACAAGACAAUUAAGUUGGUGCUGGCCGACUCUUUUUGUUCGAAACGAAGAGCAGUUUGAGCAAAAAGGAUGGAAAAGCUGCCGUAAUAGUUUGAAUCAUCAGUUUGGGUUAUUUAGCCUCGGUCCCGCCUUCUUCUACUGCUGUUCACCACGAGAGCGAUGAACAUGAGACUGAACAAGUAAAUGGGAAGCCCUUCAAAAGCAAUUAUGGUGGACAUUUUCCUCAUAAUGAUUGCUAGCUUCUAAUGGGGACACAACCUACCCCGAAUCUGCUGGAAUCACGCAAGCAAAUCAGGAUGGAUCAAGCGGAUGAUCAGCAUAGAAGAAGAUAGGUUGCUACUCCCUAAUGAUGACCUUUUCUUUCCAGCGAGAUGGCCUUCACAUUUCAUGAUUCAGAUCCCGCGCAUGCGUUUGUACUCCAUACUCCAUACUCCAGGUCGACCAGAGCACCUUGUAAUUGGUCAAGGAAGUUUCCUAAUGCGAGGAUUUUUUUCCCUAUUUGCAAAUAUGAUGUCAAAACUAAUGUUCAUUUGAUUUUUGUGAAUAGUUAGACCAUUGUAAGUAUCCUCAUUACUGAUCCAUCGGUUGCAUAUAUCUUGAGGAUCAGUUUUACAUGAGCUAUAAAUUAAUCACUUUUGAUGUAAAAUCUCCAAGAUGGUAUUUUUUCACUUUUCAUGAAAUGAACUAUGAAUCAGUGGCCAAAAAAUUAAAUAAAAGAAGUUGAAGGAA